rnacentral:sRNA from 1 species
UACCGAUUGAAUGGCUCAGUGAGGCGUUCGGACUGGCUCGGGGAGGUUGGCAACGACCACCCCAAGCCGGAAAGUUCGUCAAACUCGGUCAUUUAGAGGAAGUAAAAGUCGUAACAAGGUCUCCGUAGGUGAACCUGCGGAGGGAUCAUUACACAAUAAAAUAUGAAGGCUGUACGCGGCUGUGCUCUCGGGCCAGUUUUGCGGAGGCUGAAUUAUUUAUUACCCUUGUCUUUUGCGCACUUGUUGUUUCCUGGGCGGGUUCGCCCGCCACCAGGACCACAUCAUAAACCUUUUUUAUGCAGUUGCAAUCAGCGUCAGUAUAACAAAUGUAAAUCAUUUACAACUUUCAACAACGGAUCUCUUGGUUCUGGCAUCGAUGAAGAACGCAGCGAAAUGCGAUACGUAGUGUGAAUUGCAGAAUUCAGUGAAUCAUCGAAUCUUUGAACGCACAUUGCGCCCUUUGGUAUUCCAAAGGGCAUGCCUGUUCGAGCGUCAUUUGUACCCUCAAGCUUUGCUUGGUGUUGGGCGUUUUUUGUCUUUGGUUGCCAAAGACUCGCCUUAAAAGGAUUGGCAGCCGGCCUACUGGUUUCGCAGCGCAGCACAUUUUUGCGCUUGCAAUCAGCAAAAGAGGACGGCAAUCCAUCAAGACUCCUUCUCACGUUUGACCUCGGAUCAGGUAGGGAUACCCGCUGAACUUAAGCAUAUCAAUA